UACGGAGGAUGCAAGCGUUAUCCGGAAUGGUUGGGCGUAAAGCGUCCGCAGGUGGCUAUGUAAGUCUGCUGUUAAAGAGUGAGGCUCAACCUCAUAAGAGCAGUGGAAACUACAUGGCUAGAGUGCGUUCGGGGCAGAGGGAAUUCCUGGUGUAGCGGUGAAAUGCGUAGAGAUCAGGAAGAACAUCGGUGGCGAAAGCGCUCUGCUAGGCCGCAACUGACACUCAUGGACGAAAGCUAGGGGAGCGAAUGGG
rnacentral:rRNA from 1 species